AUUUUUAAAUGCCAACUCUGGCGUGAGCCAGGCUACGGAAAGCUACAGAUCUUUUGUUAUAUUUUAAAGAUGGCUGGGUUGUGUUU
rnacentral:ncRNA from 1 species